rnacentral:rRNA from 1 species
UUGGAGGGCAAGUCUGGUGCCAGCAGCCGCGGUAAUUCCAGCUCCAAUAGCGUAUAUUAAAGUUGUUGCAGUUAAAAAGCUCGUAGUUGAAUUUCGGGAUCAAUUUGCUGGUCGUGCCUCUGGUACGUACUGGUAUUAUUGGUUUCUCCCUUCUGACGAACCAUGAUGUCAUUAAUUUGAUGUCGUGGAGAAUCAGGACUGUUACUUUGAAAAAAUUAGAGUGUUUAAAGCAGGCAUUAGCUUGAAUACAUUAGCGUGGAAUAAUGAAAUAGGACGUUUGAUCCUAUUUUGUUGGUUUCUAGGAUUGACGUAAUGAUUAAUAGGGAUAGUUGGGGGCAUUAGUAUUCAAUUGUCAGAGGUGAAAUUCUUGGAUUUAUUGAAGACUAACUACUGCGAAAGCAUUUGCCAAGGAUGUUUUCAUUAAUCAAGAACGAAAGUUAGGGGAUCGAAGACGAUCAGAUACCGUCGUAGUCUUAACCAUAAACUAUGCCGACUAGGGAUCGGAUGAUGUUAAUUUUUUAAUGACUCAUUCGGCGCCUUACGGGAAACCAAAGUGUUUGGGUU